rnacentral:rRNA from 1 species
UGGGGAAUAUUGGGCAAUGGGGGAAACCCUGACCCAGCAACGCCGCGUGAAGGAAGAAGGCCUUCGGGUUGUAACUUCUUUUAUCCAGGGAGCGAAGGAAGUGACGGUACCUGGAGAAAAAGCAACGGCUAACUACGUGCCAGCAGCCGCGGUAAUACGUAGGUUGCGAGCGUUGUCCGGAUUUACUGGGUGUAAAGGGCGUGUAGGCGGAGAAGCAAGUUGGGAGUGAAAUCUAUGGGCUCAACCCAUAAACUGCUCUCAAAACUGUUUCCCUUGAGUAUCGGAGAGGCAAGCGGAAUUCCUAGUGUAGCGGUGAAAUGCGUAGAUAUUAGGAGGAACACCAGUGGCGAAGGCGGCUUGCUGGACGACAACUGACGCUGAGGCGCGAAAGCGUGGGGAGCAAACAGGAUUAGAUACCC